rnacentral:lncRNA from 1 species
UAGCUAAAAACAUCCAAACAACCUAGGUAGCACAAGUGGGGCACUUCCCACUUUUCCCACUGAGACUGCAGAGCCGCAACAUGUCCUCAUCCAAGCCCUCUGGCCCUCACUGGAGCUGAGCUCCUGCACGAGGCUGAGGGGGCCCUCAUAAGAACAACACAGGCCUCAGUGGUCAGGUGAUGGUGGGAGAUCGUUGGAGCCCAGACUGACCUGAGCUGUUUGCAGGAGGAGGGUGUCUUUCACAAAAUGGGUAAGCACAAAAUGCCAAAGUCUAUAUGGUCUCCUUGUUAAAUUUCUUUCUCUCUACAACAGUACCCGCUACUAUCGACACCCUGGCAAAGAAGGCUGCGUUUGACCCUUGUGGCUUGCCUGGGUAUGUUGUCUGGUGAAGGUAACUGGAAGGAAAGAAGAGAAUAUCUCCUAACUUUACUGUAUCCAGUAUUGUUCACAAAAAAAGGAACGAGCAACAAAUGGUUUGGUGGUAGGAAUUCUUAUUGCUCAAAUGAAGCCAUGGAAGCUAGAAGCAUCUGAAGCUGAAGUACACAUGACAUUUAUGCCAGCUCAAGACAUGACCUGCUACUGUUAUAUGUGCAUCUUCUUGUGCCUUGUGCCUUGUGCAUGAGCAAAAUCCUCUGAGUAAGGGUGGUUUUCUCAUUACAGAGCAGUACUUCAAGGUGUAAAAAAAGAAAAUCUGAAGCAUAUCCCCAGAAGAACUGUCCAAUGAUUAAUUUUCAGCCCACCUAUUUGUAUCUGUCACUUGCUUAACCAUUCAGUAAUGCUCUGUUUGGAGGUUAUAUUAUCCAUUUUGAAAUCAAUGACAGCGUCCACAUUGCCUUGAAUGGAAAGCGCCCUGGAUUUCAAUUAGAUGUAUAAAUUACAUGUUUCAACUAGAUGUAUAAAUUACAUGUAACAAGAACCUUCUGACAGUCUUCCAAAAUUUUCCAUUCAUUCCAGAGGAGGAUAUGAUGUACUUUAAUCAAGAGGAAAGUACCAAAUUGCAUCAGAUUUGGUCAAACUUUUCAAAGACAGUGUUGGAGCUGAGUUCAAGUGUUAUAUUCUAACAUUAAUUAGUC